rnacentral:tRNA from 1 species
GGCUGAGUGGCGUAGCGGUAAGUAAGUAUUUUCCUGUUUCCAAUGAAGUCUUAGUUGACAUUCUGAAGCGCGUCUGAUUCCAGUUUCCCAUGGGUAUUGAGGAAGUCCAGAAGAUCUUGGGUUCAAGUCCCAACUCGGUCA